rnacentral:rRNA from 1 species
AGUGAACGCUGGCGGUAGGCCUAACACAUGCGAGUCGAACGGCAGCACAGUAAGAGCUUGCUCUUACGGGUGGCGAGUGGCGGACGGGUGAGGAAUACAUCGGAAUCUACUUUUUCGUGGGGGAUAACGUAGGGAAACUUGCGCUAAUACCGCAUACGACCUACGGGUGAAAGCAGGGGAUCUUCGGACCUUGCGCGAUUGAAUGAGCCGAUGUCGGAUUAGCUAGUUGGCGGGGUAAAGGCCCACCAAGGCGACGAUCCGUAGCUGGUCUGAGAGGAUGAUCAGCCACACUGGAACUGAGACACGGUCCAGACUCCUACGGGAGGCAGCAGUGGGGAAUAUUGGACAAUGGGCGCAAGCCUGAUCCAGCCAUACCGCGUGGGUGAAGAAGGCCUUCGGGUUGUAAAGCCCUUUUGUUGGGAAAGAAAAGCAGCAGGUUAAUACCCCGCUGUUCUGACGGUACCCAAAGAAUAAGCACCGGCUAACUUCGUG